rnacentral:misc_RNA from 1 species
AGCCAGAAGGAUUUACAGUUGAUAGCCUCAUCUGUUGUGUUGGCUGCACUAGCAGUUGCUCCUUAUGACCGCACACAUGGCGCAUCUCAUCUGGAACUUGAAAAUGAAAAAGAGCGCAAUUUGAGGAUGGCCAAUCUAAUCGGGUUCAAUCUAGAGCUAAAACUUGAGAGUAGGGAAGUGCUGUCAAGGUCAUUCCUUCUGUCAGAACUGGUUUCCAAAGGUGUAUUGAGCUGUGCGACACAGGAAGUAAAAGAUAUUUACCAUCUAUUGGAGCAUGAGUUUCUCCCACUAGAUCUUGCAGCAAAAGUUCUGCCAUUACUAACAAAAAUUUCAAAACUUGGCGGAAAACUUACAUCAGCUUCCUCUGUGCCAGAAGUGCAACUAUCUCAAUAUAUUCCUGCCCUUGAAAAGCUUGCUACCCUGAGGUUGCUUCAACAGGUGUCUCAAGUGUAUCAGAUGAUGAAAAUCGAGAGUUUGUCUCAGAUGAUCCCCUUCUUUGAUUUUUCUGUUGUUGAGAAGAUUUCUGUUGAUUCUGUCAAACAUAAUUUCACAUCUUUGAAAGUUGACCAUAUGAAGAGUGUCAUAUUGUUCACUAAUGUGGGUCUUGAAUCGGAUGGACUGAGAGAUCAUCUUACAAUUUUUGCUGAAUCCUUAAAUAAUGCAAGGGCCAUGAUAUAUCCUCCAGCAAAGAAUUCUUCAAAGCUAGGUGAAAUUUUACCUGGAUUAGCUGAGAUUGUGGAUAAGGAACACAAGAGACU